GUUGGGUAGGGGAGCGUUCUGUAAGCCUGUGAAGGUGUGUCGUGAGGCAUGCUGGAGGUAUCAGAAGUGCGAAUGCUGACAUAAGUAACGAUAAAGCGGGUGAAAAGCCCGCUCGCCGGAAGACCAAGGGUUCCUGUCCAACGUUAAUCGGGGCAGGGUGAGUCGACCCCUAAGGCGAGGCCGAAAGGCGUAGUCGAUGGGAAACGGGUUAAUAUUCCCGUACUUGGUGUUACUGCGAAGGGGGGACGGAGAAGGCUAUGUUGGCCGGGCGACGGUUGUCCCGGUUUAAGCGUGUAGGUGUGUGUUCCAGGUAAAUCCGGUUCACUUUAACACUGAGGCGUGACGACGAGGCACUACGGUGCUGAAGCAACAAAUGCCCUGCUUCCAGGAAAAGCCUCUAAGCAUCAGGUAACAUCAAAUCGUACCCCAAACCGACACAGGUGGUCAGGUAGAGAAUACCAAGGCGCUUGAGAGAACUCGGGUGAAGGAACUAGGCAAAAUGGUGCCGUAACUUCGGGAGAAGGCACGCUGACACGUAGGUGAAGUGAUUUACUCAUGGAGCUGAAGUCAGUCGAAGAUACCAGCUGGCUGCAACUGUUUAUUAAAAACACAGCACUGUGCAAACACGAAAGUGGACGUAUACGGUGUGACGCCUGCCCGGUGCCGGAAGGUUAAUUGAUGGGGUCAGCGCAAGCGAAGCUCCUGAUCGAAGCCCCGGUAAACGGCGGCCGUAACUAUAACGGUCCUAAGGUAGCGAAAUUCCUUGUCGGGUAAGUUCCGACCUGCACGAAUGGCGUAAUGAUGGCCAGGCUGUCUCCACCCGAGACUCAGUGAAAUUGAACUCGCUGUGAAGAUGCAGUGUACCCGCGGCAAGACGGAAAGACCCCGUGAACCUUUACUAUAGCUUGACACUGAACAUUGAGCCUUGAUGUGUAGGAUAGGUGGGAGGCUUUGAAGUGUGGACGCCAGUCUGCAUGGAGCCGACCUUGAAAUACCACCCUUUAAUGUUUGAUGUUCUAACGUGGACCCGUAAUCCGGGUUGCGGACAGUGUCUGGUGGGUAGUUUGACUGGGGCGGUCUCCUCCUAAAGAGUAACGGAGGAGCACGAAGGUUGGCUAAUCCUGGUCGGACAUCAGGAGGUUAGUGCAAUGGCAUAAGCCAGCUUGACUGCGAGCGUGACGGCGCGAGCAGGUGCGAAAGCAGGUCAUAGUGAUCCGGUGGUUCUGAAUGGAAGGGCCAUCGCUCAACGGAUAAAAGGUACUCCGGGGAUAACAGGCUGAUACCGCCCAAGAGUUCAUAUCGACGGCGGUGUUUGGCACCUCGAUGUCGGCUCAUCACAUCCUGGGGCUGAAGUAGGUCCCAAGGGUAUGGCUGUUCGCCAUUUAAAGUGGUACGCGAGCUGGGUUUAGAACGUCGUGAGACAGUUCGGUCCCUAUCUGCCGUGGGCGCUGGAGAACUGAGGGGGGCUGCUCCUAGUACGAGAGGACCGGAGUGGACGCAUCACUGGUGUUCGGGUUGUCAUGCCAAUGGCACUGCCCGGUAGCUAAAUGCGGAAGAGAUAAGUGCUGAAAGCAUCUAAGCACGAAACUUGCCCCGAGAUGAGUUCUCCCUGAGACUUAG
rnacentral:rRNA from 1 species